GACGAACGCUGGCGGCGUGCUUAACACAUGCAAGUCGAACGAAGUUUGGGAGCUUGCUUCCUUACUUAGUGGCGGACGGGUGAGUAACGCGUGAGCAACCUGCCCUUAUCUGGGGAAUAACACAAAGAAAUUUGUGUUAAUACCGCAUAUUAUCUUUAGAAGGCAUCUUCUUUAGAUGAAAGAUUUAUCGGAUAAGGAUGGGCUCGCGUCCCAUUAGAUAGUUGGUGAGGUAACGGCCCACCAAGUCGAUGAUGGGUAGCCGACCUGAGAGGGUGAUCGGCCACAAUGGAACUGAGAAACGGUCCAGACUCCUACGGGAGGCAGCAGUGGGGAAUAUUGGGCAAUGGAGGCAACUCUGACCCAGCAACGCCGCGUGAAGGAUUGAAGGUCUUCGGAUUGUAAAGUUCUGUGAUGGGGGAAGAAGAAAGUGACAGUACCCCAAGAGCAAGUCACGGCUAACUACGUGCCAGCCGCCGCAGUAAAAC
rnacentral:rRNA from 1 species